rnacentral:rRNA from 1 species
AUCAAUAAGCGGAGGAAAAGAAAAUAACAAUGAUUUCCUUAGUAACGGCGAGUGAAGAGGAAAAAGCUCAAAGUUGUAACCUAUUUGGCUUAGCCAAAUCGGAUUGUAGACUGGAGAAGUGUUUUAUGGCACGCCGAGUGAAAAAGUCCCUUGGAACAGGGCAUCAUAGAGGGUGAGAAUCCCGUGAAUUCACUUGAGUAUAUGUUGUCAACUUUAAUACACUUUCAAAGAGUCAGGUUGUUUGGGAAUGCAGCCUAAAUUGGGUGGUAAAUCUCACCUAAAGCUAAAUAUUGGCGAGAGACCGAUAGCGAACAAGUACCGUGAGGGAAAGAUGAAAAGAACUUUGAAAAGAGAGUUAAACAGUACGUGAAAUUGUUAAAAGGGAACCGUUUGGAGCCAGACCGGCUUUAUCGUAAUCAAUCUAGGUUUCGACCUGGAUGCACUUGCGGUAGAUUUGCCUGCCAACGACAGUUUUUUUUGAGGGAAAAAACUAGGAGGAAUGUGGCCCUUAACUUGUUAGGGGUGUUAUAGCCUUUUAGAAAAUACCUUGAAUUGGACUGAGGAACGCAGCGAAUGCUCUUUAGGGCGAAAUAGUUGAGUGCUUUGGCUGAUAGAUGCUAGAAUUUCUGCUUCGGGUGGUGCUAGUGUUUAAAGGUUAAACUCGCUUGAUUCAUUUUUUAUUCGCUUAGGUUGUUGGCUUAAUGACUCUAAUGAC